UACGGGGGGGGCAAGCGUUGUUCGGAAUUACUGGGCGUAAAGGGCUCGUAGGCGGCCAACUAAGUCAGACGUGAAAUCCCCCAGGCUCAACCUGGGAACUGCAUCCGAUACUGGAUGGCUUGAAUCCGGGAGAGGGAUGCAGAAUUCCAGGUGUAGCGGUGAAAUGCGUAGAUAUCUGGAGGAAUACCGGUGGCGAAAGCGCUCUGCUAGGCCGCAACUGACACUCAUGGACGAAAGCUAGGGGAGCGAAUGGG
rnacentral:rRNA from 1 species